AACGAACGCUGGCGGCAUGCCUAACACAUGCAAGUCGAACGAGACCUUCGGGUCUAGUGGCGCACGGGUGCGUAACGCGUGGGAACCUGCCCUUAGGUUCGGAAUAACUCCCCGAAAGGGGUGCUAAUACCGGAUAAUGUCUUCGGACCAAAGAUUUAUCGCCUUUGGAUGGGCCCGCGUUGGAUUAGCUAGUUGGUAGGGUAAAAGCCUACCAAGGCGACGAUCCAUAGCUGGUCUGAGAGGAUGAUCAGCCACACUGGGACUGAGACACGGCCCAGACUCCUACGGGAGGUAGCAGUGGGGAAUAUUGGACAAUGGGCGAAAGCCUGAUCCAGCAAUGCCGCGUGAGUGAUGAAGGCCUUAGGGUUGAAAAGCUCUUUUACCCGGGAUGAUAAUGACAGUACCGGGAGAAUAAGCUCCGGCUAACUCCGUG
rnacentral:rRNA from 1 species